GACGAACGCUGGCGGCGUGCCUAACACAUGCAAGUCGGACGGAUCAGGUAUGACAGCUUGCUGUAGUGCCUGGUUAGUGGCGGACGGGUGAGUAACGCGUGAGGACCUACCCUGGAGAGGGGGAUAACGGCUGGAAACGGCUGCUAAUACCCCGUAAGCCUGAGGGUGAAAGGGAGCGAUCUGCUCCGGGGCGGCCUUGCGUCCUAUCAGCUAGUUGGUGGGGUAAUGGCCUACCAAGGCGAAGACGGGUAGCCGGCCUGAGAGGGCGACCGGCCACACUGGAACUGAGACACGGUCCAGACUCCUACGGGAGGCAGCAGUGGGGAAUAUUGGGCAAUGGGGGCAACCCUGACCCAGCGACGCCGCGUGAGGGACGAAGUCCUUCGGGAUGUAAACCUCUGUUGUGGGGAAGAAGUCAGUGACGGUACCUCACGAGGAAGCCCCGGCAAACUACGUG
rnacentral:rRNA from 1 species